ensembl:lncRNA
AGUUAAAACUAAAAAAUUCUUGCUACUCAGUAUAUGAACAUUUUUAUGCAUAUUUAUUUGCUCCUUUUCCAUUUUGUAUUUACUUGUACUUUUACUUUCAACAGGCCUUCUUAAGUAUGUUUAAUAUUAAAAAAUACUUUCCAUACUUAAGUACAAUAAAUAUCACAUAGCCUACUUUAAGAUUUUUACUCUAAACGGUGACUUCAACUUCUACCAAAGUUAUUUUCUGUCGCUUUAACACGAAACCGGGAAGUGCUCCGCCCGCGACCUGUCUAUCUGUAACAAGAUAUUCUCAAAUUGGGAAGAGCUCAGACAUCUCUGACUGUCAAAAGACAGAUGACCUAGAACCUGUUCGGAGCUCUGUGGAUCAUUAAUUAAUAAUCCGUCUACUCUACAGCAAUCCCACACGAUGGAUGUAAAGGAUCUCGGAGUAAAAAUACUCAGCUUUAUUUCCAUUCUCUCAAAUUGCUCGAUGAACGGAUAUGGUUCAAGCUUGAAGUGUUGUUUCGAGGUUUUGAGAAACCACUCGGUUUCCUAUCAUCUCAGUGAGCCACCUGGAGCCUUCUGCACACCAACAUGGUCAGAAAUGGAAUUCGUUGUGGUUGAUGAACAUGGAGGCGUGGAUGAGACAAAGGUAGUAUAUCUUGAACCCCAGAAGUUAAUCGUCAAAGAAAACACGGAUGAGAAGAUCAAAGAGGUCACAUACCGAAAGGACUGCCUAGGGCAUGCUUUCACUACAAGAUGUAAUGAUCCUUGUCCUGCUUUGGACCCACCCAGAACUACAGGAAACCGACUCUGAGUCAUUGUAAGACAGCCUUGAUUAUGCGGUUAGGUUACAUACUCGUGUUGAGAUAGUUAUAUUAUUUCACUCUGUAUAAUUAUUUCAUUAGUCUUUAUUCAGUUACCUGUGGUUUUUUGCUUGACACAAAGGAUCAUUGUUUAUUGAAUAUUUAAGAGGGGACGGUGCUUUUGUGAGUUGUUUUUCUGUGCUUCAGAUAGUUUUAAGUUGCUUAACAGGAUCUGAAAAGUAGAUGUGUUUGCAGAGGUGUGAGUGGAAUGAGGGGAAAGCAGUGUUUAAAAAUCUCAAUAGUAAUGACAAUAACAUACUAUACUGUUGUUUAGGCCAAUUUGAACAGUGAAAUAAGUUUUAGCACAACCAGCUAACAUUUAUUUUACAAUGUUACUGUUUUUGUUAUUGAUUUUUGCAAUAAAUAAAAAAAUGUAUGUGAAUUUUA